AUUGAACGCUGGCGGCAGGCUUAACACAUGCAAGUCGAGCGGGGUGAUGGUGCUUGCACUAUCACUUAGCGGCGGACGGGUGAGUAAUGCUUAGGAAUCUGCCUAUUAGUGGGGGACAACAUCUCGAAAGGGAUGCUAAUACCGCAUACGUCCUACGGGAGAAAGCAGGGGAUCACUUGUGACCUUGCGCUAAUAGAUGAGCCUAAGUCGGAUGAGCUAGUUGGGGGGGUAAAGUCCUACCAAGGCGACGAUCUGUAGCGGGUCUGAGAGGAGGAGCCGCCAAACUGGGACUGAGACACGGCCCAGACUCCUACGGGAGGCAGCAGUGGGGAAUAUUGGACAAUGGGGGAAAGCCUGAUCCAGCCAUGCCGCGUGUGUGAAGAAGGCCUUAUGGGUGUAAAGCACUUUAAGCCAGGGGGAGGCUCUUUUGGUUAAUACCCAAGAUGAGUGGACGUUACUCGCAGAAUAAGCACCGGCUAACUCUGUGCCAGCAGCCGCCGUAA
rnacentral:rRNA from 1 species